GAGAGCUGAAAAGAGGAGGGAAAGGGAGUGGUUCAUAUUCUGUGGCAGCAACUGCUGAUGUUGCUAACGUUGAUGUGAUAGUUUCAACUUUGGCCAAAGUUGGUGUUAUAGAAUUAGUCACUUGGCAUAGUGAUUAUAAUGGUACUAUCAGUAGUUCUAUAAGUAGUUGUACUUUAAUCUGACAUGCUGCUGGUAGGUUAUAUGCGUGAACUAUUCAAUUGAUGCUAGGGACUUUGCCUCAACUUGUGCAACUGCAUGUACUGGUGUAAGUGAGGCAUAGAUGAUAGCUGCAGUUUAUUGCUCAUGUUUCUGCAAAGUUUGCCUCUUGACCUGAGUGCAGUGCAGGUCUGUUGAUGAAAUUAUCAAACGGUUGACAGCAUAUCAAAUUGAUAGCCAUUGUUAUGGGGGUCAACCAGGAGAAUGUGAUAUUUAAACAUGAUGCCAGUACAAAUUUAUUGCUACACUACAUGGAGUUACGGACUAUGGUAUUGUGCCAGUGUUGGGUAUGGGCCAAAUAUCAGACUUCUCUGAUGUAGGACUAGGGAAAUCCUCAUAAAACCUGGAUAAGAAUACCUAGAAAAUAAGUGAUUUUUAAGGAUUCAAGGAUGAUGGAGCUUAAUUGCAAAAGAAGGUUCUUUGCUGCUUAAUGCGAGCACUUGGAAUAACGCUUGGUAGGUUUGAGGUAAAAUCUGUUAAAUUUUAAGUUGUCAGUUGAUCAUCCUACAGAAGUCUGCUAAAGAUGGUAGUGCAGCCUGUGAUUUGAGUAUGUCUAGAAUGAGUAAUAAGAAGCCAACAACGCUCUUAUGCCUUUCAGGCAAGCAAGGAUGAAAUAGAAAACCCACCUUUCAGUGCUUACUUCUUGGAGAUCGCCUCUUGAUCAAUUUGAUGGUAAAUAG
rnacentral:misc_RNA from 1 species